GCGCCUAUAGCUCAGUUGGUAGAGCAGCUGACUCUUAAUCAGCGGGUCCAAGGUUCGAAUCCUUGUAGGCGCACCA
rnacentral:tRNA from 2 species